UUCAAGCACCAAAAUAACAACACAAGUGCAGGAGCGCAAUGAAUUCAGCAGUGCAUCAGGCAGUGACAGGCCAUUUCUUGACACGAGUGCCAAUGGACAACUACAGAGGGGGAGAAAAAAAAAAUCAAUACACAUUACAGAGAGAAAAGACCUCAGUCAUGCAUCACAAGGUUCCGUUCACGCUCUCGUCUUCAACCAGGACGUCCUGUUUGGCUGUCACAGCAUUGUCGGCAGAUUUUUCCAGGCAGCCUCCUGAGUCUGUGGGAAAAAGUGGGACUGUGGUGAAAAAAGUUAAGGCAGUUCUGCUGCAGCCGUUCUGUGGAGGAGCAGGCAGUUUCACCGGUUAGACCCCUGAGGGCUCAGGUCAGCUGCUUUCCAUGAGGGCUCCAGUUGAAGAAAUCCCUCUGCAUCAAUCCCUCUCCCUCUGAAAAUCUCCACAGAGCUAAGUUUGCCUCUGUCUUUGUUUCUCUGCCUUUUUGUCUUCAUCACCAUGUCUCUGCUUCACUGUCUUUGUCUCUCUUUCACAUUCUUUUUUUUAUCAUCCCUCGAUGCUGAACUCACAGUUGAGCUCUUACAGACCAGAACAGGACACAUUGGACAGUAAAAGACUGUAGAAGUAAAGCACUUUUGUUUGGCCUUCAUUUAACGUGUUCAACACGUUUGAUCUACAGGAACAAAAGAACUCGUUGUAAUUGUGGGGCUUGGUUAUGAUGUAGUUCACAGCUUGAUUAUGUCUGAGCUGGAGGUGAGAUACAGAUCAGGUGAAUGAGCAGUAUGAAGAUGAAGUUGUUGUAUUAGAUGUGAUGUGAAUAGAGGAUUGGAGGUGGAGCUGCCAGGUCGAGGUAAGAUUUAUGUAUUUGUUGACGCCCUUCCUGACGCAACCCAACUUGGGAUUUAAGGACUUCAGUAGGUGAUGUCAACCCCAGAACCUUGUGGUGUUAGAUGGGUGUCCUACCUAAUAAUAACAAUAAUAAUUUGAACUUUAUUGAGCCAACACUUGGGAAAUUCUUGUGUUACCAGCAGAUCUGAUACAACAUGCACCAAGUAUGUUGUACCCCUGGGAAUCAAACCCAGGGACUACCUGCUUGCUGCUGUUAAGGCAGGCGUGCUAAAAGCUCUACUACUGAUCAACUAGAGUUUAAGGUUGUCCGAGGGCAGGAUUUGAACCAAGGUCUCCUACACCGUAUCCCCUGGGCUAUAUUGUCACCCCUGCACCACUGUAGCCCCACUGUAGCCCCCCUGGAGCCAUCGAUAUAAAAACUUCUCCACUUUGUGCAGUAACAGGACCCCGUAGUAACUUUACAUCCUUUAUUGCCUGGAAACCUUGUUUUCAGACUGUACAGAUCCUGAUCUUCACUCCAGUCUCUUUACACUUCAGAAUCCCCCAGUGGCAGCCGAAGGUCAUUGCUCAUUAAAGCCAGUAUUGUCUACAGAAGCAAACAUAGUUUCUAACAGCUCAGGGAGUCUGACCUACUUCACCUCCCGACUGCUCCUACACUGACUUAAUGCCAUUAAUCAAAACUAAACUUUUACUACAGUCAGAGCUCCUAGAUGUAAUUUACCCCUUCUGUAUU